rnacentral:lncRNA from 1 species
GUUGAAGAGGGGAAACAAUAUAAAAAGUAAAGAGGACAAAAAAGUGAGGAAGAGGAGAAAUGGUGUUUGAGACUCGUCCACAGACGGGGACAAAAACAUUCUCUGCAUAGAGGACAACUUGUAUAUUAUUUCACUCCCUCUCUCUCAAUUAUAUAAAAUAUAAUACACACACACACAUAUACACAAGUAUACGUUACACACACACACAUAUAUAUAUGUAUAUACAUAUACACCCACCAAUGUAUUGCGCGCUAAAAACCUGACACACAGACACACAAGAAACUGCGAGAGAGAAAGUGUGGAGAAAGCCCUUCAACCACGCAUGCGUAUUGUCAGUGUGUGCUGCUUUCUGUGUUGGUUCGUCUGCUGAGCGAAGUAACACGGCACCAGUCUUACAACUCCACAAACACAGGAUACAACAACAUUGACGGCUUCUUAUUCUACCCUCUUACACAGUGUUUGGUCGGUUUCAAAUCGGAUGCCAAAUACUGACCCCUCCUGAUGUGACCUUCUUUAUUUUUUUUGUUUUAUAUUAUUUUUUUCCAUUUUUUUUCUCUGUUACACUACAAUGUGGAGGAAAGAUGGCUACCGGAAUGAACUUCAUCUUUAUGGAAUUUUCUUUGGUUUUACUUUUAUGGAUGUUUACCCACCCCACCGGUAAGUUGUUCCUUCAGCUCUGUUGGUUUCAAUACCGAAAUAUAU